UUAAGCGACUAAGCGUACACGGUGGAUGCCCUGGCAGUCAGAGGCGAUGAAGGACGUGCUAAUCUGCGAUAAGCGUCGGUAAGGUGAUAUGAACCGUUAUAACCGGCGAUUUCCGAAUGGGGAAACCCAGUGUGAUUCGUCACACUAUCAUUAACUGAAUCCAUAGGUUAAUGAGGCGAACCGGGGGAACUGAAACAUCUAAGUACCCCGAGGAAAAGAAAUCAACCGAGAUUCCCCCAGUAGCGGCGAGCGAACGGGGAGCAGCCCAGAGCCUGAAUCAGUGUGUGUGUUAGUGGAAGCGUCUGGAAAGGCGCGCGAUACAGGGUGACAGCCCCGUACACAAAAAUGCACAUGCUGUGAGCUCGAUGAGUAGGGCGGGACACGUGGUAUCCUGUCUGAAUAUGGGGGGACCAUCCUCCAAGGCUAAAUACUCCUGACUGACCGAUAGUGAACCAGUACCGUGAGGGAAAGGCGAAAAGAACCCCGGCAGGGGAGUGAAAAAGAACCUGAAAACCGUGUACGUACAAGCAGUGGGAGCACAGAGCAAUCUGUGUGACUGCGUACCUUUUGUAUAAUGGGUCAGCGACUUAUAUUCUGUAGCAAGGUUAACCGAAUAGGGGAGCCGAAGGGAAACCGAGUCUUAACUGGGCGUUAAGUUGCAGGGUAUAGACCCGAAACCCGGUGAUCUAGCCAUGGGCAGGUUGAAGGUUGGGUAACACUAACUGGAGGACCGAACCGACUAAUGUUGAAAAAUUAGCGGAUGACUUGUGGCUGGGGGUGAAAGGCCAAUCAAACCGGGAGAUAGCUGGUUCUCCCCGAAAGCUAUUUAGGUAGCGCCUCGUGAAUUCAUCUCCGGGGGUAGAGCACUGUUUCGGCAAGGGGGUCAUCCCGACUUACCAACCCGAUGCAAACUGCGAAUACCGGAGAAUGUUAUCACGGGAGACACACGGCGGGUGCUAACGUCCGUCGUGAAGAGGGAAACAACCCAGACCGCCAGCUAAGGUCCCAAAGUCAUGGUUAAGUGGGAAACGAUGUGGGAAGGCCCAGACAGCCAGGAUGUUGGCUUAGAAGCAGCCAUCAUUUAAAGAAAGCGUAAUAGCUCACUGGUCGAGUCGGCCUGCGCGGAAGAUGUAACGGGGCUAAACCAUGCACCGAAGCUGCGGCAGCGACGCUUAUGCGUUGUUGGGUAGGGGAGCGUUCUGUAAGCCUGCGAAGGUGUGCUGUGAGGCAUGCUGGAGGUAUCAGAAGUGCGAAUGCUGACAUAAGUAACGAUAAAGCGGGUGAAAAGCCCGCUCGCCGGAAGACCAAGGGUUCCUGUCCAACGUUAAUCGGGGCAGGGUGAGUCGACCCCUAAGGCGAGGCCGAAAGGCGUAGUCGAUGGGAAACAGGUUAAUAUUCCUGUACUUGGUGUUACUGCGAAGGGGGGACGGAGAAGGCUAUGUUGGCCGGGCGACGGUUGUCCCGGUUUAAGCGUGUAGGCUGGUUUUCCAGGCAAAUCCGGAAAACUAAGGCUGAGGCGUGAUGACGAGGCACUACGGUGCUGAAGCAACAAAUGCCCUGCUUCCAGGAAAAGCCUCUAAGCAUCAGGUAACAUCAAAUCGUACCCCAAACCGACACAGGUGGUCAGGUAGAGAAUACCAAGGCGCUUGAGAGAACUCGGGUGAAGGAACUAGGCAAAAUGGUGCCGUAACUUCGGGAGAAGGCACGCUGAUAUGUAGGUGAAGCGACUUGCUCGUGGAGCUGAAAUCAGUCGAAGAUACCAGCUGGCUGCAACUGUUUAUUAAAAACACAGCACUGUGCAAACACGAAAGUGGACGUAUACGGUGUGACGCCUGCCCGGUGCCGGAAGGUUAAUUGAUGGGGUCAGCGCAAGCGAAGCUCUUGAUCGAAGCCCCGGUAAACGGCGGCCGUAACUAUAACGGUCCUAAGGUAGCGAAAUUCCUUGUCGGGUAAGUUCCGACCUGCACGAAUGGCGUAAUGAUGGCCAGGCUGUCUCCACCCGAGACUCAGUGAAAUUGAACUCGCUGUGAAGAUGCAGUGUACCCGCGGCAAGACGGAAAGACCCCGUGAACCUUUACUAUAGCUUGACACUGAACAUUGAGCCUUGAUGUGUAGGAUAGGUGGGAGGCUUGGAAGUGUGGACGCCAGUCUGCAUGGAGCCGACCUUGAAAUACCACCCUUUAAUGUUUGAUGUUCUAACGUUGACCCGUAAUCCGGGUUGCGGACAGUGUCUGGUGGGUAGUUUGACUGGGGCGGUCUCCUCCUAAAGAGUAACGGAGGAGCACGAAGGUUGGCUAAUCCUGGUCGGACAUCAGGAGGUUAGUGCAAUGGCAUAAGCCAGCUUGACUGCGAGCGUGACGGCGCGAGCAGGUGCGAAAGCAGGUCAUAGUGAUCCGGUGGUUCUGAAUGGAAGGGCCAUCGCUCAACGGAUAAAAGGUACUCCGGGGAUAACAGGCUGAUACCGCCCAAGAGUUCAUAUCGACGGCGGUGUUUGGCACCUCGAUGUCGGCUCAUCACAUCCUGGGGCUGAAGUAGGUCCCAAGGGUAUGGCUGUUCGCCAUUUAAAGUGGUACGCGAGCUGGGUUUAGAACGUCGUGAGACAGUUCGGUCCCUAUCUGCCGUGGGCGCUGGAGAACUGAGGGGGGCUGCUCCUAGUACGAGAGGACCGGAGUGGACGCAUCACUGGUGUUCGGGUUGUCAUGCCAAUGGCACUGCCCGGUAGCUAAAUGCGGAAGAGAUAAGUGCUGAAAGCAUCUAAGCACGAAACUUGCCCCGAGAUGAGUUCUCCCUGACUCCUUGAGAGUCCUGAAGGAACGUUGAAGACGACGACGUUGAUAGGCCGGGUGUGUAAGCGCAGCGAUGCGUUGAGCUAACCGGUACUAAUGAACCGUGAGGCUUAACCUU
rnacentral:rRNA from 1 species